GCCGGGAUGGCGGAAUUGGUAGACGCAUACGACUCAAAAUCGUACGGAGCAAUCCAUGGGAGUUCGAUUCUCCCUCCCGGCA
rnacentral:tRNA from 1 species